GAUCCUGGCUCAGGAUGAACGCUAGCGGCAGGCUUAACACAUGCAAGUCGAGGGGCAGCACGAGGUAGCAAUACUUUGGUGGCGACCGGCGCACGGGUGCGUAACGCGUAUGCAACCUACAUUUAACAGGGGCAUAACACUGAGAAAUUGGUACUAAUUCCCCAUAACAUUCGAGAAGGCAUCUUCUUGGGUUAAAACUCCGGUGGUUAAAGAUGGGCAUGCGUUGUAUUAGCUAGUUGGUGAAG
rnacentral:rRNA from 1 species